GACGAACGCUGGCGGCGUGCCUAAUACAUGCAAGUAGAACGCACAGAUUAUACCGUCGCUCGCUACACCAUAAACUGUGAGUUGCGAACGGGGGAGUCACCCGUAGGUAACCUUCCUGGUAGCGGGGGGUAACUAUAGGAAACGAUAGCUAAUACCGCAUCUUAUUGAUUAUUCAAUGAUAAUUGAUUGAAAGCUGCUAUUGCAUCGCUACUAGAUGGACCUGCGUUGUAUUAGCUAGUAGGUGAGGUAAAGGCCCACCUAGGCGACGAUACAUAGCCGACCUGGGAGGGUGAAUGGCCCAACUGGGAAUGAGACAAGGCCCCGACUCCUAAGGGAAGGCGCAGUAGGGGAUUUUCGGAAAAGGAGGAAAAGCUGGCUGAGGAAAGCCGGGGUAGUGAAGGAGGUUUUUGGAUCGUAAAGGUCUGUUGUAAGAGAAGAACGAGUGGGAGAGUGGAAAGUUCACGCUGUGACGGUAUCUUACGAGAAAGGGACGGCUAACUACGUG
rnacentral:rRNA from 1 species